rnacentral:piRNA from 1 species
UAGGAAAACUGGGAAGGUAGCAAAGA